rnacentral:rRNA from 1 species
GAGUUUGAUCCUGGCUCAGAUUGAACGCUGGCGGCAGGCCUAACACAUGCAAGUCGAGCGGAUGACGGGAGCUUGCUCCUUGAUUCAGCGGCGGACGGGUGAGUAAUGCCUAGGAAUCUGCCUGGUAGUGGGGGACAACGUUUCGAAAGGAACGCUAAUACCGCAUACGUCCUACGGGAGAAAGCAGGGGACCUUCGGGCCUUGCGCUAUCAGAUGAGCCUAGGUCGGAUUAGCUAGUUGGUGGGGUAAUGGCUCACCAAGGCGACGAUCCGUAACUGGUCUGAGAGGAUGAUCAGUCACACUGGAACUGAGACACGGUCCAGACUCCUACGGGAGGCAGCAGUGGGGAAUAUUGGACAAUGGGCGAAAGCCUGAUCCAGCCAUGCCGCGUGUGUGAAGAAAGGUCUUCGGAUUGUAAAGCACUUUAAGUUGGGAGGAAGGGCAGUAAGUUAAUACCUUGCUGUUUUGACGUUACCGACAGAAUAAGACACCGGACUAACUCUGUGCCAGCCGCCG